UCACACCAGCAGUCUGUCAUAAAAGGAGUCUUUGUUCUUCUGUGGAGCUUUCCCAAACUUCUAUGUGAAUGUCAUUUUCAUUGCUACUAGUUUGAAGCUCUGAAAUCCAUCUCUGGGAAUUUCCUUUCUUGUAUUUUUGUUUUCUUUCAGUAAUAGUCUAGAUAAAAAAGUCAAGAAGCUAAGAAACAGGAUAUAAAACAAACAAUAACAACAACAAAAAAGUGCCAGGGCUUCAGAGACCUUCACACAUGGGUACCCACAACCUGGUAUGGCCAUGCACAUGGAAGACGGAGAAGAAGGCACUGGCUUUGUGCCUAAGCAAAUUCAAGGCUUUACGUAAUCAUCGGUGACAAAGAAAGAAGACCUCCACUAUAAAACAGACAUCAAUUCUUUAACUGUAGAAUAAAUGAUUCCCCGAUCCAGAUGUUUGAUGUGCAAACAGGGAAAGAUGUGAUCCCUGCUAGUAAACUGCCUGCUGGGGAAACCAUUGUGCAACAUAGAAGCUUCCCUAACUAGGUGACCAACACAUCCAUUGUCACAAGGCUACCUCUGUCGCUGCCCUCCAUGUGAGCUGCUGUGUGUUGAAAACACUGGC
rnacentral:lncRNA from 1 species